AUGUUCCAAACAGUUCUAUCCAAUCAGUGUGGCUUUUCUCUGAGCUUUUAACAAGUCCUGGCAGGACCGCUAACAGAGGGCUUAGUCAGCAGGAAAUUACAAUUCAACACGGACAGCAACACACUGCCACUGCGCUGUGAUUUAAUACAACACAACAGCUGUAGAUGCCUGUGAGAUGGUAUGUCAGCCGGCAUCUUAACAGUGUUUGGGUCGUGCCACUCAUGUGACAUCUGCACCGCCUCUCUCUGACUCCCCUCACUGCUGUUUAUUAAGCAAAGCUGCUCUCCAGUCUUCCUUAUUUUGAAACACAUGAUACACUUACCCUGAAUGCAGUACCCUCCUCAAUGAUGGUUGGCAACUGAGACAGGCAGAUAUCCACGGCCAGAUCCCAUGCUUGCCUGUUGUAAGCCUGGGGACCGAAUGAGGGCAGGAAGGAGUCUUUAAUCCUCUCCUACACCCCAGCACUCCCUCAUGGUCAUCAUAACUAAUUCAUAUGGUUAUGCAACACAACUUGGACCACUACAGCGGCUUUUCUGUUCAGGCCGUCUCCCUCUCUUUUUCACGUUCCUGUGACUGCUGCAAACAGCGCGAAGCCACAAAGGAGAUUUUUCCUCAUAAUUAGUGACUGUUGGAGUCAAUUUAUUGAUGCUGACCACUGCGCUGUAUGAUGACACUCAACAACUGGGGGAGGUGUCAAGAAAAUCUCGAUUUGAAUGGCUUUUCCCCCCUCAGUAGUGCAAUAUACAGUCGUGGAGUUUAGUCCCAUUAUAACUGGUGCAUCAGUUUAAUGAGUCACAAUGCACAUACUGCAAUAUGCACAAUGUACUGUAACUUAACACACAUCAUGUUAAUUUAGAUCGUUGGGAACACAAUUCUACACAAAAAUGGAUAUGAUGACAAGAUAUUAAAAUGUAGAAGUUAAAAUGCAACAGAUUACAUCACCCAAGCAAAUUCUGGGUUUGCUUAAAUGCUGAGAGCUGAUAUACGAUGUGACAGCGCAGCUUGAUUGAACAGCCAACCCGACCGUUAUUUCUUCCAGUGCUGCAAUGAUUAAUUGAGUAACUCGAAUAAUUUGAUUAGAAAAAAGCUUCAAAUUAAAUUUUGCUGCUUCGGUGAUUCAUUUAAUUAGAGUUGGCGUUGUAAUGGUUUGUUUUGAAAGUGUUUGCAUUUAGUUUUAUUAAUUUGAGUGGUUACACUGCCCUGUAGUGGCAACAUCGAAUAUGAAACUUGUCUAACAUGGCGGAAUCCAGCUGCUCCAUGUUAAGACCAACAUAUGGUGUGUUUUUGUUUGAGCUCAUAUGUUUGUAUGUAUUCGUUAUUUAGUUUAAAAGUAUAUUUAGCAUUAUUUUUUUAGGGAAUAUGUGUUUGAACGAUUUGCUGAGAGCAUUGUAAAAAACAUUUUUUUUUAGAAAAUAGAAUUUAGUAGCAUUUAAGCUAGAAGACCUUUGCUAUGCAUGUUAGCCAGUUGUUCUUUUGUUGUACUUAGAGCCUCAUCUAUUAAUUUUUUUAUACAGUUUGAGCCUAAGCUCAGGUAUUUACAUUUAAAAAUGUAUUGCUCUUGUGAAAUGAAAGUGCGGUUCUACACACAGUGAUCCGUCGCUACUUCGCGCUUCAAACUUUCCUCUUUAGCACGGGACUUCUUUUUUCUUCUUUCUUUCAGAAAGAAAGCUGACCAAUACGCGGGGUCUGAAAGGCAAAUUGCUGUUGGAUUAUCUUUAAAUACCCACUACUUUUUGAGCAGAAUUCUAGCUUUGUAUAGGCUAAUGUUCCUUUUGUUGAAAGCACAAAAGUGUGUAAUAAACAACUAGCACAUUUAUAUUUUGCAUUUUUUUUCUUACUGUACCGAAAAUGAACUGAACCACGACCUCAAAACCGAGGUACGUACCGAUUUUUGUGUACCGUUACACCCCUAA